rnacentral:tRNA from 1 species
UGACCCAUAGCUCAGACGGUCAGAGCGGCGGUCUUAUAAACCGUGUGCCGGGGUUCAAUUCUCCGUGGGUCUA